UUUUAAAAAUUUUCUUUUAAGUGGUAUAGUAAGUAGUGAAAUAUUAUUAUAAGCCUUAAUUCAUAAAAGUAAGUACUAUAAUAAAUUCAUUCUAUAAACUAGGAUUAGAGACCCUACUAUUAUGAACUCAAUCAUUUAUUUACUAAGGAGUAAAACUAUAUAGUUUAAACUUAAAAAUUAUGGCGGCUAAAUAAAACACUUAGGGGAACUUACCAUAUAAUUGAUAGUCACCAAGCAUAAUCAUACUUACUUUUAAAAUUUGUAUACCGUUGCCUUCAUGAGCCCCUUCGAAGGGGCUCAUGACUAUUAAUUAAAUAUUAAGACAAAUCAAGGUGCAGUUUAUUAGUGAGAACUAAGGUGAGUUACAAUAAAAAAUUUUUUUCGGAAUUUUUAAUGAAAGAUUAUAUAAAGAUGGACUUAAAAGUAAUAAUUUAAGAAU
rnacentral:rRNA from 1 species